rnacentral:rRNA from 1 species
UUAGAAGCAGCCAUUCAUUUAAAGAGUGCGUAAUAGCUCACUAGUCAAGCGACUUGGCGUCGACAAUGUUCGGGACUUAAACUAUUUACCGAAGUUGUGGACUCCGUAAGGAGUGGUAGAGGAACAUUCUGUCUGCUGUGAAGGUGUUGCGCGAGCAAUGCUGGAGCGUACAGAAAAGCAAAUGUAGGCAUGAGUAACGAUAAAGAAGAUGAAAAAUCUUCUCACCGAAAGUCUAAGGUUUCCUGAGCAACGUUAAUCGUCUCAGGGUUAGUCGGGUCCUAAGCUGAGGCUGAAAGGCGUAGGCGAUGGAAAACAGGUCAACAUUCCUGUACCUGGUGUAAAUCGUUCGACUAUAAGGAGUGACGCAGAAGUGAAAGGUCAGCCACCUGUUGGAUUAGGUGGUCUAAGCGUGUAGAUGGCUUCCGUAGGCAAAUCCGCGGAGGCUUAACAUCGAGGCGCGACGGGGAGUCCUUUGGACACAAACUGACCCUAAUCAUGCUGCCGAGAAAAACUUCGUAUAGGAGAUUUAUAUCAGUCCGUACCGCAAACCGACACAGGUAGACGAGAUGAGUAUUCUAAGGUGCUCGAGUGAGUCGUGGUUAAGGAACUCGGCAAAUUAACCCCGUAACUUCGGGAUAAGGGGUGCCUCUAGUAAGUGAAAUUAUUUACUGACGUAGCUGAACGAGGCCGCAGUGAAAUGGCCCAGGCGACUGUUUAACAAAAACACAUGUCUCUGCGAAGUCAAUCAAGACGAUGUAUAGGGACUGACACCUGCCCGGUGCUGGAAGGUUAAGAGGAGAAGUCAACGCAAGUGAAGCUUUGAAUCGAAGCCCCAGUAAACGGCGGCCGUAACUAUAACGGUCCUAAGGUAGCGAAAUUCCUUGUCGGGUAAGUUCCGACCUGCACGAAUGGUGUAACGAUCUGGGCACUGUCUCAACCACGAGCUCGGUGAAAUUGUGGUACCGGUGAAGACGCCGGUUACCCGCAUAUGGACGGAAAGACCCCGUGCACCUUUACUGCACCCUAAUAUUGGGUUCGGAUAAAGCAUGUGUAGGAUAGGUGGGAGGCUUUGAAACCGGGACGCUAGUUUCGGUGGAGCCAACGGUGAAAUACCACCCUUGUUUUAUUUGGAUUCUAACCUCGGCCCUUGAAUCAGGGUCAGGGACAGUGUUAGGCGGGUAGUUUGACUGGGGCGGUCGCCUCCUAAAAUGUAACGGAG